rnacentral:rRNA from 1 species
CAGUCGCCGCGGUAAUACAGAGGGUGCAAGCGUUAAUCGGAAUUACUGGGCGUAAAGCGUGCGUAGGCGGCUUCUUAAGUCGGAUGUGAAAUCCCUGAGCUUAACUUAGGAAUUGCAUUCGAUACUGGGAAGCUAGAGUAUGGGAGAGGAUGGUAGAAUUCCAGGUGUAGCGGUGAAAUGCGUAGAGAUCUGGAGGAAUACCGAUGGCGAAGGCAGCCAUCUGGCCUAAUACUGACGCUGAGGUACGAAAGCAUGGGGAGCAAACAGGAUUAGAUACCCCCGUAGUCCCUGUCUCUUAUAC